GCGCCGGUGGUGUAAUGGCGUAGAGCAUUCCGGCCCGGUCAGAGGGAGGUGCGGGUUCGAGUCCCGCCUGGCGCU
rfam:Heligmosomoides polygyrus genome assembly, scaffold: HPBE_contig0001057